GAAGGUGGUCGGCGGGCAAAUACAUUGGGCCGCGCCAAAUUAAACCAUUUGUUUUGUCCGAAAAUUGAAAGAAGGUGAAGACGUUAAAGCUGGCAAAUUGACGAAUUUGCCCUCCAAAUUGACGAAGGUAACGUGCACAAAAUCGCACUCAUAAUAUCUUAAAGUUUACUCAAAGACUCGCAUUUCACGCGACCAUUAAAUAAUUGUUACUUAAUAGCAGUGUCUCUCUCUCUCUCUCUCUCUCUCUCUCUCCCCCCUCCUCCACCACUCUCCUCUGCCCGAUCCGCCACCGCAACCACCGUUCUCCGCCCCUCCUAAAUGCCGAAAAUGCCCUUCACGGAGGUCCUGGCCGCCGUCUUCUUCUCCCUUCUCCUCGCCCCCGCUGCCGCAGAAAUCAAGACUCUGAAGAUCUCCUCCGACGCCCGUCCCAUGAUUUUAUUCGAGAAGUUCGGAUUCACCCACACCGGCCACGUCGCCGUCACCGUCUCCGGCGUGUCCGUUGUCUCGUCGCUGGCCAAUCCCGAGCCCUCCCGCCUCGGAUUCUUCCUCCUCUCGGAAGACGCCCUUCUGCAGGUCCUCGUCGAGCUCCAGCGCCAAAACCCUAAUUUCUGCGUUCUCGACUCCAGUUACAUCAAGCACCUCUUCACGUUCCGUGAGCUUUCUCCGCCGCCUCACAGCAGCUUCAACCAGUCCUAUCCUGUCAGCGCCCCUGGCGAGUACAGCCUCUUCUUCGCCAAUUGCGCCGCAGAGAGCAAAGUCACCAUGGACGUCCACACCGAGGUCUACAACCUCGAUGACGGCGGCGUGAAGGACUAUCUGUCCGCCGGACGCACUCAGCUUCCCUCGAUCUUCUUCCUCUUCUCGCUCUGUUACUUAGCUUUCUUGUCGCUCUGGAUCUACAUCUGCCUCACGAACAAGCGAUCGGUUCACCGGAUCCAUAUCCUCAUGGCCGGAUUGCUCUUGAUGAAGGCCUUGAACCUGAUCUGCGCCGCUGAGGACAUGCAUUACGUGAAAGUCACUGGAACGCCCCACGGCUGGGACGUGUUGUUCUACUUUUUCCAAUUUAUUAGGGUUGUGUUGUUGUUCACUGUGAUUGUUUUGAUCGGAACGGGUUGGUCUUUCCUGAAGCCCUUCUUACAAGAGAAGGAGAAGAAGGUGUUGAUGAUUGUGAUUCCGCUUCAAGUUUUAGCCAAUGUGGCUUCGGUUGUGAUCGGCGAGACCGGGCCCUUUAUUAAAGAUUGGGUUACCUGGAAUCAGGUUUUCUUGUUGGUGGACAUCAUCUGCUGUUGCGCUAUUAUUUUCCCAAUUGUCUGGUCAAUUCGGUCUCUCAGAGAGACGUCUAAGACAGACGGGAAGGCGGCGAGGAACUUGGCAAAAUUGAACCUCUUCAGGCAGUUCUACAUGGUGGUUAUUGGGUACUUGUACUUCACCAGGAUUGUCGUGUUUGCUCUCAGGACAAUUGCAGCUUAUAAAUAUCAGUGGGUGAGUAAUGCUGCUGAGGAGAUUGCUAGUCUUGCGUUUUACAUGAUAAUGUUCUAUAUGUUCAGGCCAGUUGAGACGAAUGAGUACUUUGCUCUUGAUGAGGAGGAGGAGGAGGCGGCCGAGAUGGCCCUUCGGGAUGAAGAGUUUGAGCUUUGAGGCUUUUGUGAAGCGGAUAUGUUGAUUAAUUAGCAUCCUUCACACAUUUGGCUGCUCUUACACCUGGACAUCGUGAAUUGUCUGCUGAAUUCACAGGGGAUGGAGUAAGGGGCAAAAGUUGAGGCACAUGCAUUGAAGUUCAAGGAAAUGGAAUUCGACUUAUAAGUUUACUGACCACUGACAAGUUAGGAGGGUCAGAAGUACUUCAUGAGAAAAUAAGUUCUUCAUAAAGGAGACAAGACUAGCAACCAUAUAGUGAAGUUGAUUUAUGAUGGGGGGAGAUUCUGCUAGAAGCUUUAGGAGUCAUUAAUGAUGCCUUCAACUAUUGAAGAACAAGCUCUGGAUAAUUUUUGAAGGGCUUCCAUUAAAGUUGAUCUUGAUCAUGCACUUUUGGUGGAUGAGGCUGUUCAGUUAAAUAAAAAGGAAAUGCAACUAGGAAAGGCUGGUGGCAAGUUUCUUUUGUACACUUGCAAUUGGGUCAUGCUGUGUGGUUUGUUGGCACAUUGGCCAUUUCAGUUCUGCUUGUGUAGGAAAGAGAAAGCACUUCCUGGUCAUGAUAUUUGCCUUGUAUUACUGUAGAUUCUAUCCAAUCUAUAUGGAAAAUCCUUUAUUGCCUAAUAUAGGUAUUUGGGGGCCUGGGUGUGCUCAAAGUAUGCUGCAACUAGAGGACUAUAUCAUACUUUAAAAUUGCAGGGUACUAACGCAUAUUGGAAAGGGGAGGGACAUGAACUGAAUCGUCAAAAAUGGCGAUCUCAAAUGUAAAACUUUAAAAGUGACUUGGUAGCCCAAAUUCAAAGGUCUAAACUGAUAAGGAAGUUUCACCUUAUCAUUAAGCUUUUGAGAUGACUGUUAGCUUUAAAUUUGUUAUGUUACCAUUCAGUUUUUUUUUUUUGGUUUCCUAUUUCUGGUCCUACUGUUAGGGUCAUAUGUUAUUGCAGGCUUCCUUUUCGUUAAAUUGGACCUUACUUUCAUUACAACAUCUUAUGAAUAUAACAAAAAUUUUCCUUUGAAUUUUAAAAGUGUACUGAUACAUUAUUCAAAGCAAACCACGAAUCAAACUAACCUACCAACUACUCCUACCCCAACAAAUUCAGUAAAAUGGUCAAGUCUCCGUUUAGGUAGUUGGUAUUCAUUCUUCUUUUAUGCGUUCAUCUUUCUCCCAUGCUUUCCGCUGGUCAACAACCAACAAAAGUUAUUUAUAGUUCUUC